GAAAUGUUCAUAAAUACGUAAAGAAUGUACCUUUUACAUACCUCAAAUUUGAUAAUAAAUAUUGUGUAGCACCAAUGCAUAGUUUUUUUUUAGAAUUUGGAUUUUAUUUUCUUACCAGUGUGUGUAUGUGUGAGUGUGUGUAAUUCGGGUUGCAAUGCUGAUAUUGAUAGCACAUUAUUCAAUGGAGUACACACCUACACACACGUACUCGAGAUUACAUCAUGCGUACCAUUGUUACUCAGAUGUGAAACAUUAUCAGUAUUACGUGUCAAAUAUUGAGAAAAUCUAUGUUUAUAACACUAGAGUACUUUAUGUAAAAAAAAGUCCUUAAUAUGUAUCGACAUACCAAUAAUUUUUCUUACCAGAGUUAUACAACAAUAGUGAAAAACCUUUCUCUUACAAACCCUACAAGUCCUCCAUACAUAAACAAAUAAAGAAAAUGUACAUCCUAUCACUUCAUUACACUGAUUACAGUAACAUCUUUCCUGCUCUGUCCCCGAUUUACAAUGGCUUAGCGAAGAGAGACGAAAUAGAAUCAUAUACACAUUACACAUGUCAAUAAUCAACAAUAAUAAUCAAAACACCAUUCCAACCGGCCAAAAAUUUUUAUCACCAUGUUUGUUGCUCUCCGUUCAAUGAUAAACAACAAUAAUGACAAAUGAAUAUCGGGCAGAGCUGCCAGCCGCUCUGACAUCAGAUUCCCGCCCGGAGCAAGGAGACCCUCACUCGCUCCUCAGGCUUUCCCCUUCGUGCCCGCUGCUAUACCAGGACAGUCGGAUUCCUCCGUCAACCACUACCCUACGUACGUACUGCAUCAUGCGGUCCUAGUGUUAUUAUCAUUGAUACAAAAUUAACAGGCAACGCCCUUCUUGUUUUUAUUUUGUUUCUAGUUUACAGUGAGCUUCUGAAGAAAAUGUAUCAGUCGACAGAAUCAGGAAUCGAUGCAAAAGUUGUAUUUUCUUCUCUCUACACAAUUAAAAGCUCCCUGGCCACCUGGUAUGAGCGUGUGAGUCUUGAUGCUGUUUAUAGCUGCACUAUUCAUUGACUGGCUUUUAAGUCUCAAAUUUUGCAUACUUUUUUAAGGUUGUUGAGUCAAAACACUUGUAUCAUCAAUGAGUUACAUAUGUUUCUUUUGAUCCUGUGUGCAGAAGUCGGGAGUCAAAUGUUAGGGACUCAUAAAACUAAACAUCUGAAAACAUCAACCCCGAUCUUGUGCCGGAUUUAUAAGUAAAAUAGAGUUGGCCCGUAUACAUUGGUAUGACAUGUGACACUCACUCAUAGCAGGUCGCCAGGUACCGAAGAAGUACUGUACACAGUUGGAACCCUUAUCCAGCUAUCAGAUUGGUAUAACAAUCCAGUUCACCGCGCAACGACUCCAAUCCCGUGCUCCGGAGUAGGCUUUCCUAAGGGGUGGUGUUCUUGUCCAUCAAAAAUAGAUUAAAAAUUACAAGUGCUCUCAACAAAGAAGAGGAAGUCUGUGAGAGAGAUGCAGGAAAAGUGACAUAGUUCUUCUAUGUGUGUGUGUGUGUGUGUGUGUGUGUGUGUGUAUGUGUGUGUGUGUGUGUGUGUGUGUGUGUGUGUGUGUGUGUGUGUGUGUGUGUGUGUGUGUGUGUGUGUGUGUGUGUGUGUGUGUGUGUGAAGACUAAGGGAAUGCUAAUCUUAAUCUAAAACAUGCAAAAGAGUGGUAUAUUAUAUACAAAUACAUAAUAGUAAUUGAUAGAAAUGUUGAUAGCUUUUCAUCUUGUAGUUCGAGGCAAAUAUAUUCCGAGCGCACCUUUCUGUCUAUUUUUCAAUCACUUCAAUGGUCUCCCUAAAUAUUUCCUUUAUUUCAACAUACUUUUUCUUUUAUAAUGAUACUUUAUGCGUUUUUUGUUGUUGUUUUAUUUGAGUUUCAAUUCAUUAACCGUCCAUACCUUGCUUUAAUUUGCAUUCAUUUUUUCUUCGCUACCUUUAGUCGUUCGUUAAUUCCUCUUUCACUUUGAUCUUAAAAUUCCUAAACCGUUGCACAAAAUUCUUUCACUCAAUAUAUUUCUUUCUCUUACUAACUUAUUCAAUUUGAUUUACUUUCUUUUCUUUUUCAUUCUCAUUCAUUUCCUAGACUCUACUUCAGCUCUUUUUCACCUUUCCUUUGAUCUUAUAGCGCACAAUCUUUUCCUCGCAAAUAUAUUACACAAACACACAAACACACACA